rnacentral:rRNA from 1 species
CAGUCGCCGCGGGAAUACGAAGGGUGCAAGCGUUAAUCGGAAUUACUGGGCGUAAGCGUGCGUAGGCGGUUUGUUAAGUCUGUUGUGAAAUCCCCGGGCUCAACCUGGGAAUGGCAAUGGAUACUGGCAAGCUAGAGUGUGCCAGAGGAUGGUGGAAUUCCCGGUGUAGCGGUGAAAUGCGUAGAGAUCGGGAGGAACAUCAGUGGCGAAGGCGGCCAUCUGGGACAACACUGACGCUGAGGCACGAAAGCGUGGGGAGCAAACAGGAUUAGAUACCCCCGUAGUCCCUGUCUCUUAUACA